GCGUAGGAAUCUACCUAAAGAGGGGGACAACCUAAGGAAACUUAGGCUAAUACCGCAUAAUAUCUACGGAUUAAAGACCUGGGGACCUUCGGGCCUAGCGCUUUUAGAUGAGCCUGCGUCAGAUUAGCUUGUUGGUGGGGUAAUGGCCUACCAAGGCAAUGAUCUGUAGCUGGUCUGAGAGGACGAUCAGCCACACUGGGACUGAGAUACGGCCCAGACUCCUACGGGAGGCAGCAGUGGGGAAUAUUGGACAAUGGGCGCAAGCCUGAUCCAGCAAUGCCGCGUGUGUGAAGAAGGCCU
rnacentral:rRNA from 1 species